rnacentral:rRNA from 1 species
CCUACGGGAGGCAGCAGUGGGGGAUAUUGCACACUGGGGGCAACCCUGAUGCAGCGACGCCGCGUGAGCGAUGGAGUACUUCGGUAUGUAAAGCUCUGUCAGCAGGGAAGAGAAUGACGGUACCUGACCAAGAAGCCCCGGCUAAAUACGUGCCAGCAGCCGCGGUAAUACGUAUGGGGCAAGCGUUAUCCGGAUUUACGGGGUGUAAAGGGAGCGUAGGCGGCAGGGCAAGCCUGAUGUGAAAGCCCGGGGCUCAACCCCGGGACUGCAUUGGGAACUGCCCCGCUCGAGUGCCGGAGGGGCAGGCGGAAUUCCUAGUGUAGCGGUGAAAUGCGUAGAUAUCACGAAGAACUCCGAUUGCGAAGGCAGCUUACUAAACUGCCACUGACAUUGAUGCUCGAAAGUGUGGGUAGCAAACAGGAGUAGAUACCCCAGUAGUC